AGCAUGAGGUGACCGGUCUGUCUGUGUCAAGUUCACUGUUCAGCCCACUGUGUUGCGUGUCGGAGAAUCUCGCUGCGUUCAGUUGUAGUGUGGGCUUAGCUGUGCCAUUGACGCUUGAUCGUUGCUGAGGGGGAUUGCCUCGCGAGUGGGCGGGAAACUGAGACCGCGAAAAAGCAAACAGUCAAGCGCGCUCUGUAGCGGAACGUUCUCGCGCGGUUACCAUGACGCUGAGAGUGGGUAAACGCCGCUCUGUCGCGCUGGCUCUGACCUCUGGGUUGGUAUUUGUUUGAGCUUCCAUUGGACCGUCAUCAUUGUCACCUUAACCUGAUUCCUACCCUUCAGGUCUGGAAUUAACAUCUGAUGUCUCAUCCACAAGAAGAUGAUUUAGGAUCCAGAUGAACCUAAACAGGUUUGAGGGAUGGGUCAUAAACUUGGCCAGAAUCACGUCUUGGCUGCUGGUUUGGGUGGAGGUGGAAAGAAGCGCUAUACAGCCAGCCUGAAUGUACCUGACGACCUCAGAGACCAGAGUCAAACAGAAACAGACUGGGUGGCAUAUAGUCAUUACAGCGCACACAGAUCAAGGCUUUAUGGGAAGGGAAAAUUUCAGCAGGGGCCCAGAGUUUCUGCCUAUGAGUGCUUUUAAAAAUACUGAACUGCUUUUUAGAGUCAGCUUGUGUAGGUGUAUCUAUUCCUGUAUACUUCUCUCUUGGUCAUGCUUUUUAAAAGAAUUUGUAUUUUAUAGUAACCCAAAUGUAUUUCUGUGUAAUGUGCAUAUCAGUGUUUCUCUUAAUUGCUUAUAUAUUUAUUUUCACAAUGUGUAUUCAUGUCAAUUCUGGAAUUUGCACUGGCGAUCUGGUUUUGUAUUACUUUAUUGGACACUGACAUGUUAAUUAAAAUAUUUU